AUCCAGAUGACGAGUCCCAAAUAGGACGAAACGUGCGUCCUGUAU
rnacentral:hammerhead_ribozyme from 1 species